UAGGGAAUCUUCCGCAAUGGGCGAAAGCUUGACGGAGCAACGCCGCGUGAGUGAUGAAGGUCUUCGGAUCGUAAAACUCUGUUAUUAGGGAAGAACAAAUGUGUAAGUAACUAUGCACGUCUUGACGGUACCUAAUCAGAAAGCCACGGCUAACUACGUGCCAGCAGCCGCGGUAAUACGUAGGUGGCAAGCGUUAUCCGGAAUUAUUGGGCGUAAAGCGCGCGUAGGCGGUUUUUUAAGUCUGAUGUGAAAGCCCACGGCUCAACCGUGGAGGGUCAUUGGAAACUGGAAAACUUGAAUGCAGAAGAGGAAAGUGGAAUUCCAUGUGUAGCGGUGAAAUGCGCAGAGAUAUGGAGGAACACCAGUGGCGAAGGCGACUUUCUGGUCUGUAACUGACGCUGAUGUGCGAAAGCGUGGGGAUCAAACAGG
rnacentral:rRNA from 1 species